rnacentral:rRNA from 1 species
AUCUUUGAACAGAACUUUUCGGAGUGACGUUCAAAGAGGAAAGUGGCGGACGGGCGAGUAACGCGUGAGUAACCUGCCCAUAAGAGGGGGAUAAUCCAUGGAAACGUGGACUAAUACCGCAUAUUGUAGUUAAGUUGCAUGACUUGAUUAUGAAAGAUUUAUCGCUUAUGGAUGGACUCGCGUCAGAUUAGAUAGUUGGUGAGGUAACGGCUCACCAAGUCAACGAUCUGUAGCCGAACUGAGAAGUUGAUCGGCCGCAUUGGGACUGAGACACGGCCCAGACUCCUACGGGAGGCAGCAGUGGGGAAUAUUGCGCAAUGGGGGCAACCCUGACGCAGCAACGCCGCGUGCAGGAAGAAGGUCUUCGGAUUGUAAACUGUUGUCGCAAGGGAAGAAGACAGUGACGGUACCUUGUGAGAAAGUCACGGCUAACUACGUGCCAGCAGCCGCGGUAAUACGUAGGUGACAAGCGUUGUCCGGAUUUACUGGGUGUAAAGGGCGCGUAGGCGGACUGUCAAGUCAGUCGUGAAAUACCGGGGCUUAACCCC